rnacentral:misc_RNA from 1 species
UACGGAAGGUCCGGGCGUUAUCCGGAUUUAUUGGGUUUAAAGGGAGCGUAGGCCGCUGUUUAAGCGUGUUGUGAAAAACCGGGGCUCAACUCCGGUCGUGCAGCGCGAACUGGACGGCUUGAGUGCGCGGUAAGUGGGCGGAAUUUGUGGUGUAGCGGUGAAAUGCUUAGAUAUCACGAAGAACUCCGAUUGCGAAGGCAGCUCACUGUAGCGCAACUGACGCUGAAGCUCGAAAGUGCGGGUAUCGAACAGG